GACGAACGCUGGCGGCGUGCUUAACACAUGCAAGUCGAACGGAAAGGCCCUGCUUUUGUGGGGUGCUCGAGUGGCGAACGGGUGAGUAACACGUGUGUAACCUGCCCUUGACUUUGGGAUAACUUCAGGAAACUGGGGCUAAUACCGGAUAGGAGCUCCUGCUGCAUGGUGGGGGUUGGAAAGUUUCGGCGGUUGGGGAUGGACUCGCGGCUUAUCAGCUUGUUGGUGGGGUAGUGGCUUACCAAGGCUUUGACGGGUAGCCGGCCUGAGAGGGUGACCGGCCACAUUGGGACUGAGAUACGGCCCAGACUCCUACGGGAGGCAGCAGAGGGGAAUAUUGCACAAUGGGCGGAAGCCUGAUGCAGCAACGCCGCGUGCGGGAUGACGGCCUUCGGGUUGUAAACCGCUUUCGCCUGUGACGAAGCGUGAGUGACGGUAAUGGGUAAAGAAGCACCGGCUAACUACGUG
rnacentral:rRNA from 1 species